rnacentral:rRNA from 1 species
AUUCCAGCUCCAAUAGCGUAUAUUAAAGUUGUUGCAGUUAAAAAGCUCGUAGUUGGACUUCUGGGUUGUGAUUGUGGUCCGCCUAACGGUGUGCACUGUGGUUGCGACUCUUCUUCCCGUAGUUUGGGGGUGCACUUAGUUGUGUGCUUUUGGAAUAUGGGACCUUUACUUUGAAAAAAUUAGAGUGUUCAAAGCAGGCCUUCGCUUGAAUACAUUAGCAUGGAAUAAUAGAAUAGGACUUUGGUUCUAUUUUGUUGGUUUCUAGGACCGAAGUAAUGAUUAAUAGGGACAGUUGGGGGCAUUAGUAUUUAAUUGUCAGAGGUGAAAUUCUUGGAUUUAUGAAAGACUAACUACUGCGAAAGCAUUUGCCAAGGAUGUUUUCAUCG